rnacentral:rRNA from 1 species
ACGGGUGAGUAACGCGUAUGCAACCUACCUAUCAGAGGGGAAUAACCCGGCGAAAGUCGGACUAAUACCGCAUAAAACAGGGGCACCGCAUGGUGAUAUUUGUUAAAGAGAUUCGCUGAUAGAUGGGCAUGCGUUCCAUUAGGUAGUUGGUGAGGUAACGGCUCACCAAGCCGACGAUGGAUAGGGGAACUGAGAGGUUGGUCCCCCACACUGGUACUGAGACACGGACCAGACUCCUACGGGAGGCAGCAGUGAGGAAUAUUGGUCAAUGGGCGGGAGCCUGAACCAGCCAAGUCGCGUGAAAAGGAAGAAGGAUCUAUGGUUCGUAAACUUCUUUUGCAGGGGAAUAAAGUGCAGGACGUGUCCUGUUUUGUAUGUACCCUGAGAAUAAGGAUCGGCUAACUCCGUGCCAGCCGCAGC